rnacentral:rRNA from 1 species
AACGAACGCUGGCGGCAUGCCUAACACAUGCAAGUCGAACGAGACCUUCGGGUCUAGUGGCGCACGGGUGCGUAACGCGUGGGAACCUGCCCUUAGGUUCGGAAUAACUCCCCGAAUGGGGUGCUAAUACCGGAUAAUGUCUUCGGACCAAAGAUUUAUCGCCUUUGGAUGGGCCUGCGUUGGAUUAGCUAGUUGGUAGGGUAAAAGCCUACCAGGGCGACGAUCCAUAGCUGGUCUGAGAGGAUGAUCAGCCACACUGGGACUGAGACACGGCCCAGACUCCUACGGGAGGCAGCAGUGGGGAAUAUUGGACAAUGGGCGAAAGCCUGAUCCAGCAAGGCCGCGUGAGUGAUGAAGGCCUUAGGGUUGUAAAGCUCUUUUACCCGGGAUGAUAAUGACAGUACCGGGAGAAUAAGCUCCGGCUAACUCCGUG